AGCAGCCGCGGUAAUUCCAGCUCCAAUAGCGUAUAUUAAAGUUGUUGCAGCUAAAAAGCUCGUAGUUGAAUUUCGGGGUCAGUAGGUUGGUCGUGCCACCGGUACGUACUGGUCUCACUGAUUCCUCCUUCCUGAUGAGCUGUAAUGCCAUUAACUUGGUGUUGCAGGGAAUCUGGACUGUUACUUUGAAAAAAUUAGAGUGUUUAAAGCAGGCUAACGCUUGAAUACAUUAGCAUGGAAUAAUGAAAUAGGACGUUCGAUCCUAUUUUGUUGGUUUCUAGGAUUGACGUAAUGAUUAAUAGGGAUAGUUGGGGGCAUUAGUAUUCAAUUGUCAGAGGUGAAAUUCUUGGAUUUAUUGAAGACUAACUACUGCGAAAGCAUUUGCCAAGGAUGUUUUCAUUAAUCAAGAACGAAAGUUAGGGGAUCGAAGACGAUCAGAUACCGUCGUAG
rnacentral:rRNA from 1 species